rnacentral:lncRNA from 13 species
UGUGUCUGGUGUUUCGUGUGUGCGUGUGCAUGUGUCUGUAUGGUGCUUUGUGUAUGCAUGUGCAUGUCUGUAUGGUGUUUCGUGUGUGUGUGCAUGUGUCUGUAUGGUGUUUUGUGUGUGCAUGUGCAUGUCAGUAUGGUGUUUCAUGUGUGCAUGUGUCUGUAUGGUGUUUCAUGUGUGCAUGUGCACGUCUGGUGUUUUGUGUGUGUGUGUGUGCAUGUGUCUGUAUGUUUUGUGUGUGUGCGUGCAUCUGGUGUUUCAAGUGUGUGUACAUGUGUAUGGUGUUUCAUGUAUGUAUAUGUGCAUGUCUGGUGUUUGUGUGUGUGCAUGAUGUGUCUGUAUGGUGUUUUAUGUGCUUGUGUCUGUAUGGUGUUUUGUGUGUGUGUGCAUGUGUAUCUGGUGUUUCACAUGUCUCUGGUGUUUCGUGUGUGUGUGUGCAUGUGUCUGGUGUUUUGCACUUGUGUUCAUGUGUCUAUACGGUGUUUCAUGUGUGCGUGUGUUUGUACAGUGUUUCAUGUGGAGGUAGGGGUGUGUACUCCUUGUGGACACAUGCUGGGUAGGAAUUUACUGAAUGGGAAGAAGAAACUAGCCUGGGGAGCCAAGGACCCACAGUGCAGACCGGCUUUACUUCUGAAUUAA